rnacentral:piRNA from 1 species
UACAAAGUGAGUAAGUAUCUCAUGCUUGUG